AGUGAACGCUGGCGGUAGGCCUAACACAUGCAAGUCGAACGGCAGCACAGUAAGAGCUUGUUCUUACGGGUGGCGAGUGGCGGACGGGUGAGGAAUACAUCGGAAUCUACUUUUUCGUGGGGGAUAACGUAGGGAAACUUACGCUAAUACCGCAUACGACCUACGGGUGAAAGCAGGGGAUCUUCGGACCUUGCGCGAUUGAAUGAGCCGAUGUCGGAUUAGCUAGUUGGCGGGGUAAAGGCCCACCAAGGCGACGAUCCGUAGCUGGUCUGAGAGGAUGAUCAGCCACACUGGAACUGAGACACGGUCCAGACUCCUACGGGAGGCAGCAGUGGGGAAUAUUGGACAAUGGGCGCAAGCCUGAUCCAGCCAUACCGCGUGGGUGAAGAAGGCCUUCGAGUUGUAAAGCCCUUUUGUUGGGAAAGAAAAGCAGCAGGUUAAUACCCCGCUGUUCUGACGGUACCCAAAGAAUAAGCACCGGCUAACUUCGUG
rnacentral:rRNA from 1 species